rnacentral:miRNA from 1 species
AUAUAUAUAUAUAUAUAUGUGUGUGUGUGUGUGUGUGUGUAUACACACACACAUAUAUAUACACAUCCACAUAUACACACACAUAUAU